GAGAACCUCCGGGGGUAAGAGGUUCGACUCGAGCGAAGCGAGAGAACGUUGCGCCAGCAACGGCCCGCAGGGCGAGCCACGCAGUGGCGAGUCAUCCUCUAUCACCGGCAG
rnacentral:sRNA from 1 species